rnacentral:rRNA from 1 species
GUCCACGCUGUAAACGAUGACAACUAGGUGCUGGACACCCAAGGGUGUUCGGUGCCGCAGCUAACGCGUUAAGUUGUCCGCCUGGGGAGUACGGCCGCAAGGCUAAAACUCAAAGGAAUUGACGGGGCCCGCACAAGCAGCGGAGCGUGUGGUUUAAUUCGAUGCAACGCGAAGAACCUUACCUGGCCUUGACAUGCAGGUGGUAGGGGACCGAAAGGCGACCGACCCUCGGGAGCCUGCACAGGUGCUGCAUGGCUGUCGU